rnacentral:misc_RNA from 1 species
UUAUCGGCCGCGCGUUCGGCAACCGCGAUCACACCACGAUUCUGAAAUCCAUCCGCGCCGUCGAAAAAAUGAUGGCGCUGGAUCACCCUAUCUCGAAAGACAUUAAAGCACUCACCAAAAAACUAGGGGNNNNNNGCGGGAAUUCGAAAGAGCAACUGCGCUCCAUAAUUGAGCGCGUGGAGAACCGGGAGGCCGCAAAG